CCGCUACCACGCAAGUGGAUGCCAAUCCCAAAACCUCUCUCAGUUCGGAUUGAAGUCUGCAACCCGACUUCAUGAAGCUGGAUUCGCUAGUAAUCGCGCAUCAGCCACGGCGCGGUGAAUACGUUCCCGGGCCUUGUACACACCGCCCGUCAAGCCAUGGGAGCCGGGGGUACCUGAAGUGCGUAACCGCAAGGAGCGCCCUAGGGUAAAACUGGUGACUGGGGCUAAGUCGUAACAAGGUAGC
rnacentral:rRNA from 1 species